rnacentral:tRNA from 1 species
GCGGGUAUAGUUUAGUGGUUAAACACGACCUUGCCAAGGUUGAGUCACGGGUUCAAUUCCCGUUACCCGCUCCA